rnacentral:snRNA from 1 species
CUACUCUGGUUUCUCUUCAGAUCAUAUAAAUCUUUCGCCUUUUACUAAAGAUUUCCAUGGAGAGAACAUUUAUGAGUUUCUACCCAAUUUUUUUUUUUUUUGAGCAGUGGAA